rnacentral:rRNA from 1 species
UACGGAGGGGGCUAGCGUUGUUCGGAAUUACUGGGCGUAAAGCGCACGUAGGCGGCUUUGUAAGUUAGAGGUGAAAGCCCAGGGCUUAACCCUGGAAUUGCCUUUAAGACUGCAUCGCUAGAAUCGUGGAGAGGUGAGUGGAAUUCCGAGUGUAGAGGUGAAAUUCGUAGAUAUUCGGAAGAACACCAGUGGCGAAGGCGACUCACUGGACACGUAUUGACGCUGAGGUGCGAAAAGCGGUGGGGGAGCAAAACAGG